AUUGAACGCUGGCGGAAUGCUUUACACAUGCAAGUCGAACGGCAGCACGGGAGCUUGCUCCUGGUGGCGAGUGGCGAACGGGUGAGUAAUGCGUCGGAACGUACCGAGUAAUGGGGGAUAACGCAGCGAAAGCUGUGCUAAUACCGCAUACGCCCUGAGGGGGAAAGUGGGGGAUCGUAAGACCUCACGUUAUUCGAGCGGCCGACGUCUGAUUAGCUAGUUGGUGGGGUAAAGGCCUACCAAGGCGACGAUCAGUAGCGGGUCUGAGAGGAUGAUCCGUCACACUGGAACUGAGACACGGUCCAGACACCUACGGGUGGCUG
rnacentral:rRNA from 1 species